rnacentral:ncRNA from 1 species
CGUUCUCAGGGCGGGGUGCGACUCCCCACCGGCGGUAAUUGCGCGCAAAGCGCAUAGCCCGCGAGCGCUUGGCACAUUCUUGAGCUUCGGCCAGGAAUAAACCAAGGUCAGCAGACCCGGUGUGAUCCCGGGGCCGACGGUCAUAGUCCGGAUGAAGAGAG